rnacentral:lncRNA from 1 species
AAGUUAUUCAAAGGAAGUGAUAGACGAGGGGAAUUUAUUUCUUUUUCUUUUGGAGGACAGACUUUACUUCGUCUUGGAUUCCCAGAGGCUCCUACCAAAAAUUCACUUCCACGCUUUUACAGCUCCUCCUCCUCCUCCUCCUUCCCAGGAGCUUUUUUUCAGCUCUUCUCCUUGUGGAUCAUAUGCUUCAUCCUGGACCUCACCAAGAUUAAAGUGGCCUCCAUUAUAGAAGGAAAUCCUCUAACACAGGCGCCUGGUAUUAUCUUCAUUCUGUUCAGCGAUGGACUAAAAGUGAGUGAGUACGUGAUGUGAAUUUCCUCUUGAAGAAUGUGGGAGAGCGGCGUGUUGCGAGUCCCCACAGGACCAGAUUGUUUGAUCGCCGAGGACUCCACGUUUCACGGCUUUGUAAUGGAACUGCAGGUGUACAGCGGGCCUCAUAUAUUUAUAGGAUUCUCAUGAAUAAGAAGUGUUUGUUUUGAAGUUCAGAAGUCUCCACAAAAAUCAAAAUAUAAAAAAAUUGAGUGAACAGUCGUCCCCUGCUAUAAUGGGGUUCACCCCUUUCAGUUUCGUUGUUUUUAUUUAGUGCAACUAAAGGCUUUUUUUUUUAAAUGGUGCUUUGUGUUCUGCAUCCUGACUGCCUUUAUGCCAUGUAUCGGGUACAGAGUAUGUUCACCUUACCAAUUUUACAGAAAUCUUCAUUGGGGUGCAGAUGUUUUUGUUUUAUUUUGUAGUACAGGGCUCAUUUUUCUAUAAAAACAUUUGAACUUUGAGACUUUAAACAAGACAGAAGUCUGCAUUUUUUUAUUUUAUUUUUUAGAAAAAAUGAAUAAAGUAUGUGGUGAGGGGCUUUACAGCCUUAUAAAUUCUAUUGUAAAAAAUAAAAAUAACUACUUUGUAGAUUUUGUUUAUUCUGGGUUAUUUUAGAACAUCCCGUAUGGAGUGAUAUUUCUGCCACCACGUUGCACACAAAACUUUCUACGUUUUUUGCUCAAAAAUUGUUUUUUUUUGCUUUCAAAAACUUUUUUUGCUUUCAAAAACAUUUUUUUUGCAUUUGCAAAACACAUUUUUUCGCGUGCGUUGUGUCAAAUCUAGCUUUUGUCCUAUCUUUGAUUUUGCUGACUACUUUGAGCGCGACUUAGCGUGAUAUGACUGCCACUGACAUCGCCGAAAAGAAAUUCGCACGCGUUGUGUGUCAUCUCACUUUUUUCCUAUAUUUGAGCAAAAAACUUAGAAAGUUUUGUGUUCAACUUAGAAAGUUUUGUGUGCAACGUGGUGGCAGAAAUAUCACUCCAUAAUCCUGUGAUAAACGAGGGGACAACUGCAAAUAAGCUACGUUGAAGCAGUAAUAUUAUUGUACUUUUUGU